GAUGAACGCUGGCGGCGUGCCUAAUACAUGCAAGUCGAGCGAACGGACGAGAAGCUUGCUCCUCUGAUGUUAGCGGCGGACGGGUGAGUAACACGUGGAUAACCUACCUAUAAGACUGGGAUAAUUUCGGGAAACCGGAGCUAAUACCGGAUAAUAUUUUGAACCUCAUUGUUCAAAAGUGAAAGACGGUCUUGCUGUCACUUAUAGAUGGCUCCGCCUUGCAUCAGCUAGUUGGUAAGGUAACUGCUUACCAAGGCAAGGAUGCAUAGCCGACCUAAGAGGGUGAUCGCCCACCCUGGAACUGAGACACGGUCCAGACUCCUACGGGAGGCAGCAGUAGGGAAUCUUCCGCAAUGGGCGAAAGCCUGACGGAGCAACGCCGCGUGAGUGAUGAAGGUCUUCGGAUCGUAAAACUCUGUUAUUAGGGGAGAACAUAUGUGUAAGUAACUGUGCACAUCUUGACGGUACCUAAUCAGAAAGCCACGGCUAACUACGUG
rnacentral:rRNA from 1 species